GUUUGCUCAGGCAGGCAGUCUGGGCUUUAUAACCACCUCAGUCUGUUGGCCUCCUUAUUUAAUUAAUUUAACAUUUUCUUUUCCAAGUUUUUUAUAAGUACUCACUGAAGCCCUCUGGAGGAAUCAGCAGGAGACUGCUGUAGCUGAGACCAAAGAAGUGACUUCAGGAUCAGCAUUUUAGGUAGCAAAACAGGGGGAAGUUGGGAUUGCAGUCAAGAUGUUUGGCAAAAAGCAGAAGUGGAGCAGCUAAAAUACUACUGACUCUAUGAUGACCAGAAUCUCCAUUUCUCUGACCUUAGUAGUGAACUACUCUGAAACAAGAAGUGAGAAAGGUGGGUUGGCAUUUAAAUAAACAGCACAUUCAUUUUACAUUGAAGUCUCUUGAUUAACAGUAGAAGACAUCACUCCUGAAAGCAUCUGCGGUGUCAGUAAUUCCAUUAACAAAGAAGCCACUUUAUUAUCAACAUACUGUAGAUUCAUUUUAAUGUGUCAUUUGCACUUCAAAGUCACAUAACUUUUAUUAUGGUAAAUCAAUUAAAACUAUUUCUCAUGAUAAUUUAUCUUCUGCAGAGUUUAUCAUCUCAGAGAAUGCAAUAUUUCCCA